rnacentral:rRNA from 1 species
CCUACGGGAGGCAGCAGUGGGGAAUAUUGGACAAUGGGCGAAAGCCUGAUCCAGCCAUGCCGCGUGGGUGAAGAAGGCCCUAGGGUUGUAAAUCCCUUUCAGCGGGGAAGAUAAUGACGGUACCCGCAGAAGAAGCCCCGGCUAACUCCGUGCCAGCAGCCGCGGUAAUACGGAGGGGGCUAGCGUUGUUCGGAAUUACUGGGCGUAAAGCGCACGUAGGCGGGCUGUUAAGUCAGUGGUGAAAUCCCGAGGCUCAACCUCGGAAUUGCCUUUGAUACUGGCAGCCUUGAGUUCGAGAGAGGUGAGUGGAAUUCCGAGUGUAGAGGUGAAAUUCGUAGAUAUUCGGAGGAACACCAGUGGCGAAGGCGGCUCACUGGCUCGAUACUGACGCUGAGGUGCGAAAGCGUGGGGAGCAAACAGGAUUAGAUACCCUUGUAGU